rnacentral:rRNA from 1 species
GACGUAGGAUGCAAGCGUUGUCCGGAAUUAUUGGGCGUAAAGAGUUCGUAGGUGGUAUGUUAAGUCUGGUGUUAAAUCCCGAAGCUCAACUUCGGAUCAGCACUGGAUACUGACAAACUAGAGUGCAGUAGAGGCAAGGGGAAUUCCUAGUGUAGCGGUGAAAUGCGUAGAUAUUAGGAGGAACACCGGUGGCGUAAGCGCCUUGCUGGGCUGUAACUGACACUGAGGAACGAAAGCCAGGGGAGCAAAUGGG